ACGGCGAAAGCUGGUUGUGUAUUACUAUGCAGCUUCGACUCUGUCGAGUAAAAUUCUGGGUAGAGUUAUGAUUAUGACAUUUUCUACCCAUAUGUCUUGACCAAAUCACGUGCCAGCAGUCGCGGUAAUACGUGGAAGACUAGUGUUAUUCAUCUUUAAUAGGUUUAAAGGGUACCUAGACGGUUAAUCAAGCCCCCAAAAGGGUACUAAUAAACUAGAGUUUGAUAUGAGAGGGGGUGUACUAUAGAGUGUAGAGAUGAAAUUCUGUCAUACCUAUAUUGGAACAGGCAACGGCGAAGGCAACCCUUUAUGUAAAAACUGACGUUGAAGGACGAAGGCUCAGUACACCAACAGGAUUCGAUACCCCAGCAGUCUGAGCAGAAAAUGAUGAAUGUCAUAUGUAAGAAAUAUAUUUUUGCGUAUAAAUGAAAGUGUAAGCAUUCCACCUCAAGAGUAAAGUGGCAACGCAGGAACUGAAAUCAUUAGACCGUUUCUGAAACCAGUAGUGAAGUAUGUUGUUUAAUUAGAUGCUCCACAAAAAACCUUACCACAGUUUGAAUAUUUUUAUUUUUAUAUUAAUACAAGCGUUGCACGGCUGUCUUCAGUUAAUGUCGUGAGAUUUUGGUUAGUUCCAUAAAAUUAACGUGAACCCUUACUUUAUUUUUUUAGAGAUUCUACAAUAAGCCCUUGUUAAUAUAACAUAUAUAUUACUAUGUUAUAUUGGGUAGUAGUAAAAUUAAUGCAAAUUUUGCUUAAUUUUUCUUUAGUUAAAGUUGUUAACCGCUAUAUUGGAUAUUAUAACAGGGACUAAGACAAGUCAUCAUGGCCUUAAUACUGUGGGCUAUAGACGUGCCACAUAGGCCUUUACAAAGGGAUGCGAAAUUGCGAAAUUUAGC
rnacentral:rRNA from 1 species